GGAGGCACAAGGGGGGCCUACACAAUAUUAGGCAGGUGGUUUUAAUGUUAUGGCUGAUCGGUGUAUAGUACACUGAUAAAAAAAAAAAAAUGUGUAUGUGUCCAUUACAUGCCAUACACCUAUUCAUUCAUAAAUCAGAAAUGCUCUCGGAAUGUGUGCUGUGAAGUGAUGAAGUGCUGGGCAGUCGGACAAUGUAAUAUUGAUGUCAUGAUGAAUUCACACUACACUUUUCUGGGAUAUCAUUGUGUCGCAACGUUUUCCAGAAAAAAUAGAACUGAAGCAGCUCAUUUAAUGCCAUACUGAAUCAUUAAAUCUGAAUAAAAUGGUACAAUUUAAUUACAAUUGUUCCCCCUCUCCUUGUCAGUGAUCUUCUUAGACAUUUAAUAAAAUUGCAAUAGUUUUGUAGAAUUGAAGACUGGAUGUGUUUUGUACUGAUAAAAUAUAUUCUCAGGGUUUUAUUUCUUGCCCUGCAGGAUGGACUUUGAUGAUGAAGAUGGAGAAGGGCCGAGCAAAUUUUCAAGGACGUGUAUCCGUAAUUCCCCGGAGUGGAGACACUGCCCUCUGCUGGCCACGCUACAGCUAAUCUCAACACUGUUCCUCUCUUACAGUAUCACCUCUAUAAUCCUAACCCAGCCGUGCAGCCUCGAGCAGUACUGUCUGCACCGAGUGUUGAAUAAGCCAUCAGACAAAAUUAGCCAAAUUGUACCAGUAUUAAAUUUUACAAUUUUAACAUCGAAAAAUCAUGAUGCUGUUCUUGACAAAAACUUGAAAUACUUGUAGCUGUUCUGAUCAGUCAGUUUUAUUUUGAUUGUAAAUCACAUAUGAUUGUUAAUCAAAACAGUAAACACGUAUUUCUGAAAAAUGGUGAUAAUUAUGUGUCUGCCUAAUCCAAGAAAAAUUUAUGGUGCUUGUUUCAAUGUGUCCAAAGUAAGGGACCUCAAAAGACUUAGUUCUUAUGCUACCUUCUUAGGCCCUUAUUUAGGACUACGUAGCAUCACAUUUGUCCAUCGUAAUGCAUCCAUCACGGUGCU
ensembl:lncRNA